rnacentral:tRNA from 1 species
ACCUGGAGGGCUCAGUCAGUGCAGCAUGUGACUCCUGAUCUCAGGGUUGUGAGUUCAAGCCCCACUUUUGGUG